GAGGGUGGGAGGUUGUGAGUGGCACUUGAGCCUAGGUUAGAGUGGAAAACGCUGCAGAAAUGCUUACUGAGGCAGUCAGGACACUUCUUGCUUUAGUCCUGGGUCUGAGGCGUUAGUUUUGUAGUGGUCAGUGUGAGGAAGAGAUGGAGCUGGAGUGGGACCCACAUCUGGGGAUACCAGCUGGGAUGAAGGCCACAUUUAAGG
rnacentral:lncRNA from 1 species